UAAUACAGAGAGUGCGAGCGUUAAUCGGAAUUACUGGGCGUAAAGCGCGCGUAGGUGGAUAGUUAAGUCGGAUGUGAAAUCCCCGGGCUCAACCUGGGAAUUGCGUCCGAAACUGGCUAUCUAGAGUAUGGUAGAGGGAAGUGGAAUUUCCGGUGUAGCGGUGAAAUGCGUAGAUAUCGGAAGGAACAUCAGUGGCGAAGGCGACUUCCUGGACCAAUACUGACACUGAGGUGCGAAAGCGUGGGGAGCAAACAGG
rnacentral:rRNA from 1 species